rnacentral:sRNA from 19 species
CUGGGCCUUUUCGCCGCCCUAAGCAAGCGGGCAUCGGUUUAAGGAAAGGAGUUCCAACGGCCGUAAACACAGGCACACUCUCGUGCUUGUAUUCACGGCAGUGUCGCCGAUGGUGCUGGCGUGAAGCGGUCUAAGCAUGGACCGCACAAUGAAACGAUACUUUUGUAUUGUGCUCGUUGUAUUUGGUGCGUUGUUAACAUCCUGGAAUGGGGGUUGGAGUAUUUUCAACAACUCAAUCACGGUAAUCAUCAACACAUCAGGCAAGUAAAAUAGGUAGCCGUCCUUCGGGGCGGCUUUCCUU